GAACUCUCGUUAAGGAACUCGGCAAAUUAGUCCCGUAACUUCGGAAUAAGGGACGCCCCGUGUAGUGUGAAGUCCCCGCGGAUGGAGCACGAGGGGGCCGCAGUGAAACGGGCCAAGCGACUGUUUACCAAAAACACAGGGCUCUGCAAAAUCGAAAGAUGAAGUAUAGGGCCUGACACCUGCCCGGUGCCGGAAGGUUAAAAGGAGGGGUUAGCGUGAUUUAUCAUGCGAAGCUCUGAAUUGAAGCCCCGGUAAACGGCGGCCGUAACUAUGACGGUCCUAAGGUAGCGAAAUUCCUUGUCGGGUAAGUUCCGACCUGCACGAAUGGUGUAACGACUUGGUCACUGUCUCAACGAGAGACUCGGCGAAAUUGUAGUGUUUGUGAAGAUGCGGACUACCUGCAGAAGGACGGAAAGACCCCGUGAACCUUUACUGUAGCCUGACACUGUAGUUUGGUUCAGUAUGUGUAGGAUAGGUGGGAGACGUGGAAACCGGGACGCCAGUUUCGGUGGAGUCAUCCUUGAAAUACCACCCUUAUUGUAUUGGACUACUAACUGGCACCUGUUGAUCCAGGGCUAGGACACUGUCUGGUGGGCAGUUUGACUGGGGCGGUCGCCUCCAAAAAUGUAACGGAGGCGCCCUAAGGUUCCCUCAGCACGGACGGAAAUCGUGCGCAGAGUGUAAACGCACAAGGGAGCUUGACUGCGAGACCUACAAGUCGAGCAGGUACGAAAGUAGGGGUUAGUGAUCCGGUGGUCCUGUAUGGAAAGGCCAUCGCUCAACGGAUAAAAGGUACUCCGGGGAUAACAGGCUUAUAGUGCCCAAGAGUUCAUAUCGACGGCACUGUUUGGCACCUCGAUGUCGGCUCUUCGCAUCCUGGGGCUGGAGAAGGUCCCAAGGGUUCGGCUGUUCGCCGAUUAAAGCGGAACGCGAGCUGGGUUCAGAACGUCGUGAGACAGUUUGGUCCCUAUCCUCUGCAGGCGUUGGAAAUUUGAAGAGAUCUGUCCCUAGUACGAGAGGACCGGGAUGGACGAACCUCUGGUGUACCAGUUGUCGCGCCAGCGGCACCGCUGGGUAGCUAUGUUCGGAAGGGAUAACCGCUGAAAGCAUCUAAGCGGGAAGCCUACUCUAAGAUUAGAUUUCCCCUGGCCUUCGGGCCACUGAAGACCCCUCGGAGACUACGAGGUUGAUAGGCUGGAGGUGUAAGCGCAGCGAUGCGUUCAGCCGACCAGUACUAAUCGGUCGUGAGGCUUGACC
rnacentral:rRNA from 1 species